UACGUAGGUGGCAAGCGUUGUCCGGAAUUACUGGGCGUAAAGCGCACGUAGGCGGAUUUGUAAGUCAGGGGUGAAAUCCCGAGGCUCAACCUCGGAACUGCCUUUGAUACUGCAAAUCUCGAGUCCGGAAGAGGUGAGUGGAAUUCCUAGUGUAGAGGUGAAAUUCGUAGAUAUUAGGAAGAACACCAGUGGCGAAGGCGGCUCACUGGUCCGGUACUGACGCUGAGGUGCGAAAGCGUGGGGAGCAAACAGG
rnacentral:rRNA from 1 species